CGAUUCAGGAGCUAAAACUCGUAGAGAGAGACGGAAAGAAAGCCGAUUAGAUAAAAGUAAGAGAAAGUUUGACUCGUGGCUCCAACAUCAUAAAAUAAAAAAGACGAUGAGCAAUAAGAAGGCAGAAAAUAUGCACAAGAAUACUCAAAUUGAAUUGAUAACCAGAGAUUUUAAAAGACUAUCCAAAACUAAAUUUGAGGAGUAUAUGGAUAUAGAUGGGAGAGAAGCUUCUAGAAACACCAGUUCUUCACAUAAGAGGACAGUAUAUGGAUAUAGAUGGGAGAGAAGCUUCUAGAAGCUUCACUUGCGAAGUGUUUUGAGGUUCUUUCCUUGUUUGAAAUAGAAAUUUAGAAUGAAUAAUUUGAUUUUCACA